GAAUCCCGUAUGUGGCACGGACUCCCGUUACUCUGCGAUACACUCUCAACGAGUCGAGUUGUUUGGGAAUGCAGCUCCAAAUGGGUGGUAAAUGCCAUCUAAAGCUAAAUAUUGGCGAGAGACCGAUAGCAAACAAGUACCGUGAGGGAAAGAUGAAAAGCACUUUGGAAAGAGAGUGAAACAGUACGUGAAAUUGUUGAAAGGGAAACGCUUGAAGUCAGUCAUGCCCUUUGGGAUUCAGCCUUGCUUCUGCUUGGUUUACUUCUCUUUGGGUGGGUCAACAUCAGUUUGGGUCGGAGGAGAAAGACUUGGGGAAGGUGGCAGCAUUCGUGCUGUGUUAUAGCCCCUUGUUGUAUACUUCGAUUUGGACUGAGGACCGCAGCACGCCUUUGGCCGGGGCUCGCCCACGUACGUGCUUAGGAUGUUGGCAUAAUGGCUUUAAGCGACCCGUCUUGAAACACGGACCAAGGAGUCUAACAUGUGCGCGAGUGUUUGAGUGUUAAACUCAGACGCGAAAUGAAAGUGAAAGGUUGGGAACACUUAUGUGUGCACCGACGCCCGGAGCUGACCUUCUGUGACGCAUCUGCGGUAGAGCGUAUAUGUUGGGACCCGAAAGAUGGUGAACUAUGCCUGAAUAGGGUGAAGCCAGAGGAAACUCUGGUGGAGGCUCGUAGCGAUUCUGACGUGCAAAUCGAUCGUCAAAUUUGGGUAUAGGGGCGAAAGACUAAUCGAACCAUCUAGUAGCUGGUUCCUGCC
rnacentral:rRNA from 1 species